CAUAGCGACUAUCGUGGCAUAUCAAUAAGCGGAGGAAAAGAAACUAACAAGGAUUCCCUUAGUAACGGCGAGUGAAGCGGGAAGAGCUCAAAUUUGAAAUCUUCAAGGUUUUACCUUGACGAAUUGUAGUUUAAAGAAGUGUUUUCUGUUGGAGUUUUGGUAAAAGUUCUUUGGAAUAGGACAUCAUAGAGGGUGAGAAUCCCGUAUUUGACCAUUAUUUCCAGCUGCGUGAUACACUUUCAAAGAGUCGGAUUGUUUGGGAAUGCAGUCCAAAAUGGGUGGUAAAUUUCAUCUAAAGCUAAAUAUUGGCGAGAGGACCGAUAGCGAACAAGUACCGUGAGGGAAAGAUGAAAAGAACUUUGAAAAGAGAGUUAAACAGUACGUGAAAUUGUCAAAAGGGAAGCGUUUGACACCAGUGUUGUUUUCUCGAAAAUCAAUUAAAAAUGAUGGGAUUUUGUGUUGUAUUGACUUUAUCAGCUUUCUGCACUUUUUUCCUAUCUUUUUUAAUGCACUUUUCGUUUAACAAGUCAACAUCAAUUUCUUUUGCUUGUAAAAGAGUCAUUGGAAGGUGGCUUUUCUUUCGGAGAAAAGUGUUUAUAGCCUUUGGACUUCUGCAAUCGGAGAGAUUGAGGUCUGCAGCGUAGAUCCUUCGGGGUUAGAUACAUUUGUGCUAAGCUAUAGCCUUUCAUAGACAACUUGUUGACUAUGAUCAGUCAUGUAGCUUACUCGCUUAUGCUAUUUUACCUACGCUUAGGAUGUUGAUAUGCAUGACUGAUAU
rnacentral:rRNA from 1 species